rnacentral:rRNA from 1 species
AUAGCGUAUAUUAAAGUUGUUGCAGUUAAAAAGCUCGUAGUUGAAUCUUGGGCCUGGCUGGCAGGUCCGCCUCACCGCGUGUACUUGUCCGGCCGGGCCUUCUCUUCUGGAGAACCUCAUGCCCUUCAUUGGGUGUUUGGGGGACCAGGACUUUUACUUUGAAAAAAUUAGAGUGUUCAAAGCAGGCCUUUGCUCGAAUACGUUAGCAAGGAAUAAUAAAAUAGGACGUGCGGUCCUAUUUUGUUGGUUUCUAGGACCGCCGUAAUGAUUAAUAGGGACAGUCGGGGGCAUCAGUAUUCAAUUGUCAGAGGUGAAAUUCUUGGAUUGAUUGAAGACUAACUACUG